UCUCCGUAGGUGAACCUGCGGAGGGAUCAUUACAGAGUUCAUGCCCUAACGGGUAGAUCUCCCACCCUAUGUUAUCAUCACUUUGUUGUUUUGGCGGGCCGUCAGGCCUCGGCUUGGCUACCGGCUCUCGCUGGUAAGCGCCCGCCAGAGAACCCCAAACCCUGAAUAUCAGUGUCGUCUGAGUACUAUAUAAUAGUUAAAACUUUCAACAACGGAUCUCUUGGUUCUG
rnacentral:misc_RNA from 1 species